UACGUAGGGGGCAAGCGUUGUCCGGAAUCAUUGGGCGUAAAGCGCGCGUAGGCGGCUUUGUAAGUUAGAGGUGAAAGCCCGGGGCUCAACCCCCGGAACUGCCUUUAAGACUGCAUCGCUUGAAUCCGGGAGAGGUGAGUGGAAUUCCGAGUGUAGAGGUGAAAUUCGUAGAUAUUCGGAAGAACACCAGUGGCGAAGGCGGCUCACUGGACCGGUAUUGACGCUGAGGUGCGAAAGCGUGGGGAGCAAACAGG
rnacentral:rRNA from 1 species